GUAUGUAGCUCACUGGUAAAGUACAUGCUUUACAUGCAGAGCAUCCCUGGUUCAAUCCCUGGCAUCUCCA